rnacentral:rRNA from 1 species
UACGUAGGCAGCGAGCGUUGUUCGGAAUUACGUGGGCGUAAAGAGUGUGUAGGCGGUGCUCCCAGUCUGUUGUGAAAUCUCCCCGGCUUAACUGGGAGGGUGCAGCGGAAACUAGGAGUGCUAGAGGGUGGGAGAGGUAAGCGGGAAUUCGUGGUGUAGCGGUGAAAUGCGUAGAUAUCAGGAGGAACACCUGUGGUGUAGACAGCUUACUGGACCACUUCUGACGCUGAGACACGAAAGCGUGGGUAGCAAACAGG